rnacentral:rRNA from 1 species
GUCUAUGGCCAUGCCACCCUGAACAAGCCCGAUCCUGUCUGAUCUCGGAAGCUAAGCAGGGUUGGGCCUAGUUUUAAAUAACACUUGAUCAUUUAAAACA